rnacentral:rRNA from 1 species
GGGUUGUGAGGUUAAGCGACUAAGCGUACACGGUGGAUGCCCUGGCAGUCAGAGGCGAUGAAGGACGUGCUAAUCUGCGAAAAGCGUCGGUAAGGUGAUAUGAACCGUUAUAACCGGCGAUGUCCGAAUGGGGAAACCCAGUGCAAUUCGUUGCACUAUCGUUAACUGAAUACAUAGGUUAACGAGGCGAACCGGGGGAACUGAAACAUCUAAGUACCCCGAGGAAAAGAAAUCAACCGAGAUUCCCCCAGUAGCGGCGAGCGAACGGGGAGCAGCCCAGAGUCUGAAUCAGCUUGUGUGUUAGUGGAACGGUCUGGAAAGUCCGACGGUACAGGGUGAUAGUCCCGUACACCAAAAUGCACAGGUUGUGAACUCGAAGAGUAGGGCGGGACACGUGGUAUCCUGUCUGAAUAUGGGGGGACCAUCCUCCAAGGCUAAAUACUCCUGACUGACCGAUAGUGAACCAGUACCGUGAGGGAAAGGCGAAAAGAACCCGGCGAGGGGAGUGAAAAGAACCUGAAACCGUGUACGUACAAGCAGUGGGAGCACCUUCGGGUGUGACUGCGUACCUUUGUAUAAUGGGUCAGCGACUUAUAUUCUGUAGCAAGGUUAACCGUAUAGGGAGCCGCAGGGAAACCGAGUCUUAACUGGGCGUUAAGUUGCAGGGUAUAGACCCGAAACCCGGUGAUCUAGCCAUGGGCAGGUUGAAGGUUGGGUAACACUAACUGGAGGACCGAACCGACUAAUGUUGAAAAAUUAGCGGAUGACUUGUGGCUGGGGUGAAAGGCCAAUCAAACCGGGAGAUAGCUGGUUCUCCCGAAAGCUAUUUAGGUAGCGCCUCGUGAACUCAUCUUCGGGGUAGAGCACUGUUUCGGCUAGGGGGUCAUCCCGACUUACCAACCCGAUGCAAACUACGAAUACCGAAGAAUGUUAUCACGGGAGACACACGGCGGGUGCUAACGUCCGUCGUGAAGAGGGAAACAACCCAGACCGCCAGCUAAGGUCCCAAAGUCAUGGUUAAGUGGGAAACGAUGUGGGAAGGCACAGACAGCCAGGAUGUUGGCUUAGAAGCAGCCAUCAUUUAAAGAAAGCGUAAUAGCUCACUGGUCGAGUCGGCCUGCGCGGAAGAUGUAACGGGGCUAAACCAUGCACCGAAGCUGCGGCAGCGACACUAUGUGUUGUUGGGUAGGGGAGCGUUCUGUAAGCCUGCGAAGGUGUGCUGUGAGGCAUGCUGGAGGUAUCAGAAGUGCGAAUGCUGACAUAAGUAACGAUAAAGCGGGUGAAAAGCCCGCUCGCCGGAAGACCAAGGGUUCCUGUCCAACGUUAAUCGGGGCAGGGUGAGUCGACCCCUAAGGCGAGGCCGAAAGGCGUAGUCGAUGGGAAACAGGUUAAUAUUCCUGUACUUGGUGUUACUGCGAAGGGGGGACGGAGAAGGCUAUGUUAGCCGGGCGACGGUUGUCCCGGUUUAAGCAUGUAGGCUGGUUAUCCAGGCAAAUCCGGAUAAUCAAGGCUGAGGUGUGAUGACGAGGCACUACGGUGCUGAAGUAACAAAUGCCCUGCUUCCAGGAAAAGCCUCUAAGCAUCAGGUAACAUCAAAUCGUACCCCAAACCGACACAGGUGGUCAGGUAGAGAAUACCAAGGCGCUUGAGAGAACUCGGGUGAAGGAACUAGGCAAAAUGGUGCCGUAACUUCGGGAGAAGGCACGCUGGUGUGUAGGUGAAGUCCCUGCGGAUGGAGCUGAGACCAGUCGAAGAUACCAGCUGGCUGCAACUGUUUAUUAAAAACACAGCACUGUGCAAACACGAAAGUGGACGUAUACGGUGUGACGCCUGCCCGGUGCCGGAAGGUUAAUUGAUGGGGUUAUCCGUAAGGAGAAGCUCUUGAUCGAAGCCCCGGUAAACGGCGGCCGUAACUAUAACGGUCCUAAGGUAGCGAAAUUCCUUGUCGGGUAAGUUCCGACCUGCACGAAUGGCGUAAUGAUGGCCAGGCUGUCUCCACCCGAGACUCAGUGAAAUUGAACUCGCUGUGAAGAUGCAGUGUACCCGCGGCAAGACGGAAAGACCCCGUGAACCUUUACUAUAGCUUGACACUGAACAUUGAGCCUUGAUGUGUAGGAUAGGUGGGAGGCUUUGAAGCGUGGACGCCAGUCUGCGUGGAGCCAACCUUGAAAUACCACCCUUUAAUGUUUGAUGUUCUAACGUUGGCCCCUGACCGGGGUUGCGGACAGUGUCUGGUGGGUAGUUUGACUGGGGCGGUCUCCUCCCAAAGCGUAACGGAGGAGCACGAAGGUUAGCUAAUCCUGGUCGGACAUCAGGAGGUUAGUGCAAUGGCAUAAGCUAGCUUGACUGCGAGCGUGACGGCGCGAGCAGGUGCGAAAGCAGGUCAUAGUGAUCCGGUGGUUCUGAAUGGAAGGGCCAUCGCUCAACGGAUAAAAGGUACUCCGGGGAUAACAGGCUGAUACCGCCCAAGAGUUCAUAUCGACGGCGGUGUUUGGCACCUCGAUGUCGGCUCAUCACAUCCUGGGGCUGAAGUAGGUCCCAAGGGUAUGGCUGUUCGCCAUUUAAAGUGGUACGCGAGCUGGGUUUAGAACGUCGUGAGACAGUUCGGUCCCUAUCUGCCGUGGGCGCUGGAGAAUUGAGGGGGGCUGCUCCUAGUACGAGAGGACCGGAGUGGACGCAUCACUGGUGUUCGGGUUGUCAUGCCAAUGGCACUGCCCGGUAGCUAAAUGCGGAAGAGAUAAGUGCUGAAAGCAUCUAAGCACGAAACUUGCCCCGAGAUGAGUUCUCCCUGAGACUAUAAGUCUCCUGAAGGAACGUUAAAGACGAUGACGUUGAUAGGCCGGGUGUGUAAGCGCAGCGAUGCGUUGAGCUAACCGGUACUAAUGAACCGUGAGGCUUAACCUUACAACGCCGAAG